rnacentral:lncRNA from 1 species
CUCCUGCCUCCCGCCCUCUGCCGGCAGCACCGCCGGCUGCGGCACUUCCGGCGAUGUGUCCCACCCCGGCGGCCGGCGCCGCCCCGCGCUCGGCCCGCGGCUGGUUCGGAGGACCGGUGCCAGCGGGGCCGCGGGUCGGCGCUUUCCUUCUCUCGGCCGUUUUAUCCGGCGAGGUCGGGGGAUUCCGGCUCUGCCCGCGCUCCCUCCGUCCUGAGCGUGCCCGCUUUUCCCCCUCCCAGGCGCAGAGGUGUCUGGAAACGCCUAGGUUAAAACAAAACAAAACAAAACCCAGUCGUACGAAGAGAUCAGUGUCUCAUCCUGCUAUCUUCCGAGUACAGCAUCUGCCUUCCAUCUUGAUUGUCUGCUCCCUCUUGCUCCCAAAGAACACCCUGAACAACUGCUUCUAAAUCAACAGUUAGCAAUCAGUAAUCCUGGUAAUCUUCAGGAGUAAUCUUGACAACUGGGGUUUUCUCCCUUUCUUCCUGGAGGUCUACCAUUUUAUUUUGUGUCUAGCAGGGCUGCCAAACUACAGCAUUUUGUCUCUAUUAAAAUUGAUCUGAAUCCCUGUUUUGUUCUUCUUUCCUCUAUUACUGUAGUAUCCAUGGAGAUCUUGGUGUUUUGUGCCAUUUCUGCCUGGGCAGUGGUGCCAACUUGCUUUUUCAGAGAUUCGUUGCCACUUUCUUUGCUGUCUCCCAGCAUGUGGGUUCCAAGUCUUUGUUUGUGUUAUUUUGUUAAAUAAGUCUAACUAUAAGUCUUGUUCAACUAAAGCAGUUGAUUUGCAUCAGCAUAAAUUCUAAAAGUCACCACAGUAUAGUGAAACCACACUGAUAGUUCAGCUACAAGACAUGGCCAUGCAAGCUGCUUGUCUCACAGCACAGGGGGCUGCAGGCAGCCCUUCUGCACUUGACUGAGUUUGUUGCUUUCUUGGAAUUCUGCCUUGCUUUUCUUGCUCAACUGUGUUGGAAGGUGGAUUAUACAAUUGCUAGUGUUGAUGCUAAAACAGGUGGAGGACUCCAGUAAUCACAGUCUACACUUGGCUGUUGUGCAAACACAUCUGGUUAGCGGUCGGCCGUGCUGUUAAAAACAAUUGGUUAUAGAUCAGCAACAUGGAUAGACAAAAUGAGAUGAAGCUUUGAAUUAAU